GGAGGAGAAAAAACAGAAGAAUAAGAGAAAAGAGGAGAAAGAGAAAGAAAAUAAGAUUUUGAGGUUUCAGAUCAAUCCGACGUGCCGAUCGCAAUUCAAACGUGCCACCUUAUCGGCGGCACGGGUAUCUUAUUCCUUUCCUUCUUUCUUUCUUUCUUUCUUCCUUUUAAUUUUUUUCCCUAUCUCUCUUUUUUUCUCUUUCUUGCUGGCUGAGAAAGAGCAACAACAGCAAAUAACUGCUGCUGGCUCUUCUGCAGCAGCAAAUAGCUGCUGCUGCAGCUAGCAGUUGCUGUUGGUUGAAUUUGCAACGCGCAGUAGUAGCAGCCAGCUAGCUAUUGCUGGCUGCUUUGCAGCAACAGCCAGUUGACUGCUGCUGGCUUCUCUGCAAUUACAGCCAGCAGCUGCUAGCUUCUCUGCAAUUACAGCCAGCAGCUACUGCUGGCAUAGCCCAGUGGCUACAGCAAGUAGGGAGAGAGGUAGAGUCCAGUUCAUGCAAUCUUCGCGUUUGGUAAUCAAAUUGGUAUUUGUUGGUUGGAGACCAGGGUAGAGUUCAAUUUACAGUUUGUUCUAGUUGAAAUUGAGGUUACUUUGAGUACAACUGAGUGUACAAUUGAGUUGAAUCGGAGUGAAUAAGAGAAAGGGAUGUUAUAUGUCGAGUUUUGGAGCUUAUAAGAAUUUCAUUGAUUUCAUCAUCGGUUUCUCGCAAUGGGGUACCACUGGAUCCUUGUUGAGCUCCUCUACCACUUUUGGUUGUCAUAGAGAUGCUGUUACUGAAACUUGAGGUAAAUUGGUUAAUUCUCGACAAAACCUAGUAUUCUUGCUUUGCUUAGUAGAUUCCUACAGGACGUGAGCCAAGGAGUGAAGUAUUCGAGGUCAAUUCUGGACAUUAUUGGAUUAGCGAUGUGAGGUGGGGUCCGAGUCAUCAGAAACGGCAAAGUUCCUACUAUGUCUCCAUUGAUGCAAAUAUAUGUCUAUAUGCUAUGUAUGCUUAUAGAGGGUAAUGUUAGUGUAAAUUGUAUUGGGAAGUAGAAUUUCAUUAUCACUAUUUGCGAGUACCUAUCUCCAUCAUUUUGUGUGGUCAUAUAUAUAUAGGGUAGAAUCAAAUCAUAGAAAAAUUAUUGUGUACACACGUUAAUUAGGCCGGGAGGGGCCGAGUGACACUGUAUGCAUGACUACAAAGGCUUGUUCAUGUGACAUAAGUCAUAGACUAGAGCAGCAGUAGUAAACAAAUAUGUUGGACAUAGAGGUAGGAUUUCGACAGUUUUAUAGUGCCAUUUCACUUAAAACCACUUCAAUAGUAUAUUGAUAUUGAGUACAUGAUAUGGGUUACUUGUGAUCUUUUGAUCAUUGCAUAAACUAUAGCCUGCAGAGCCACAUUGAGCUUGACAGAGUUACGCACUAGACUUGGUAGGGGUCGAUCCUCCCGAAUGCCGCUCCGGAGGUAGAGAGUUGCUCUAUACUAUACUUCGGGACUAGUGAGGGCCAGGGCCUUUUACUUGUAAUUUUACUUUUGGGGAUUUGAGAUUUGUGUGAUUUUGUAUAGUGGUGUACAAUAGUUCAGCUUGUGUAUAAUGCACUGAUGCAUGUAGAUAGUUUAUUUAGUAACUUUAUUCUAUUCUUGUAAUUUGGAAAACUUUCAGUUGUGAUCUCUAGUAUUGCUUCGCCAUUGUUAUGUUAUGUUGGCGCUUUAUCUGGACAGGAAAAACUCUCUCCGUUUGGCGGAUUUGUUGACGUUCCUGUGGGCUUCCGUGGAAUCGGGCGUGACAGAGCCAAAUUGAGUUGCAAGGCAGCUCAACUUGAAGUGAACAACAAGAGGUCCAAGCGGAGCCAAGCUGAACCGAACUACAAGUUGGUUCAGCCUAAACCGAACCGUUAAAGGAUUCAACUUGAAUCAAAGUGGGUUUAACCUGAACUGAACAACAGAAGGUUCAAGCCGAGCCAAGUUGAACCGAACUACAAGCCGGUUUAACCUAAACUGAAACAUAAAGGAUUCAACUUGAACCAAAGUGGUUUCAACCUGAACUGAAUCAUAGGAGGUCUGAGCAAAUCAGAUCACCAACUCAUUAAACUGUGCAGCCUAAUUUUGAACGAUCGUAGGUCCAUAAACUGAGCAUUUCACUAUGUACAGUAGGGGUAUGCCCCUGUUUAAGCCAUGCACUUGAAAAUUAUAUCAAUACAGGUUCAUAUUUA
rnacentral:lncRNA from 1 species